rnacentral:rRNA from 1 species
GACGUAGGGCGCGAGCGUUGUCCGGAUUUAUUGGGCGUAAAGAGCUCGUAGGCGGCUCGUCGCGUCGACCGUGAAAACAGGCAGCUCAACUGUGUGCUUGCGGUCGAUACGGGCGGGCUAGAGUUCGGUAGGGGAGACUGGGAUUCCUGGUGUAGCGGUGAAAUGCGCAGAUAUCAGGAGGAACACCGGUGGCGAAGGCGGGUCUCUGGGCCGAUACUGACGCUGAGGAGCGAAAGCGUGGGGAGCGAACAGG